rnacentral:rRNA from 1 species
AUACGGAGGAUCCGAGCGUUAUCCGGAUUUAUUGGGUUUAAAGGGUGCGCAGGCGGCCAUUUAAGUCAGCGGUUAAAUCGUGGGGCUCAACCCCAUUCUGCCGUUGAUACUGGGUGGCUUGAUUGCGGUCGAGGUUGGCGGAAUUCGGUGUGUAGCGGUGAAAUGCAUAGAUAUGACGAAGAACACCGAUUGCGUAGGCAGCUGACCAGAUCGCAAAUGACGCUCAUGCACGAAAGUGCGGGGAUCGAACAGGAUUAGAUACCCUGGUAGUCCGCACGGUAAACGAUGAAUACUUGUUUUCGGCGAUAUAAUGUCGGAGGCAAAGCGAAAGCGAUAAGUAUUCCACCUGGGGAGUACGCCGGCAACGGUGAAACUCAAAUGAAUUGACGGGG